AUACCACUGUGUGGCAAAAACGAAUAAACAAUCUUGAGGAAAACUGGGAGAAUGCUAGAGGAGCCAUAUUUCACAGUGUUUUGUGUUCAUUUGCCCCUCCCACUUCCUCAUUACAUUGCUCUAAAAUUGAUUGCCCCAAUGAUGCACAAUUGAGGUGUAAGCAGUGUGGUGUUUUUCAAUAUUUAUGUGUCAACUGUGAUGAAGAAGUACAUCAGUGUCAGCCUCUUCAUGAUCGUGAAGUUUGGAUUAAUGGGUAUUUUCAAUACAUUCUUCCAACUGAGUCAAUAACUGAUGAUGGAAAGCUUGUUCCUGUUGGUCGUGCAUGUCCUCUUCUUUACCCAACAUCUUGCUUGGUGUGCGGGGAAUCUACUUUGAAAACAUUGAACAGCUCAAAAGUUAUACUCAUCACAUCUGAAGGUCGUUUUGACCUCAAUUGGUUUAACAUACACUGUUAAUCAUGUCCUUGGCAAUGGUCACCAAUUUCGUUUGACUGUAUAGUUCAAAGUGGUUUUUGGCCAGGAAGUCCUGCCAAUGUAAACUACUUGUUUCAUCAAGAGCUGUUCCUUCUUUGGGAUGCCUUCCGGAAGCAAAUGCCAGGCUCCUCACAAACUGCUUUUAUAAGAAGCUUGGAAGACAUGUCUCGUUCCAAAA